CGCGGGGCGGCAGCCGCGAAGGGCAGCGGCAGCGGCGGCGCGGCCGCGAAGUGUGGCGGCACGGGGCGCGUGGGGCGGCAGCCGCGAAGGGCAGCGGCAGCGCGGGGCCCGCGGGUCGGCAGCUGCGAAGGGCAGAGGCAGCGACGGCGCGACGCGUCCGCGAAGAGCCGCGGCGGCAGCGAAAAGCUGCGGCGGCGGUGUGCACGCGUGCGCAAGAGGUUGUGCAACGCCUUUGGUAGCGCGAGGUAGUGCUGCAGCGGCGAGUACGACACGUCACCGUCGUCCACGACCUCCUCCCCACGUCUCCAUCGUCCACGACCUGCUCCUGAUUAUCCCGACUUGUGUAUGAGAGGCCACCGUCCCGUUAUUGUCGCUGCUUGCUGUUCUAUGAGCAAAUGAGUUGCUGCUCAAUUGGUGAAUCUAUCAUGGAGAAGUAUGCAUGUGUUAUGGUUAAUUCAGUUUGAGAGCAUGCAUUUUGCUGAAAACCUAAAGGCCGAGGCGGUGCCGGAGGAGGCGCGAGGAGCAGCGCAAGGAGGAGAAAAUUGCUUGAAAUCAUCUUCUGUACUUAACGAACUGCAAGGAGGAGAAAAUUGCACAGCAGGUCCGCGCUCGCUCGCGCCGCGGCUGUUCGCAUCGGCCGUCCCGCGCAUGCCGCUCCCGCACGCUGCUGGUAGGCGCCGUAUGCUAAGGAUCGGUGGGCACGUCCGCUGGAUAGUUCAGUCGAUAAAUAAAUCUGUACUCCAUGCUCCCUUCAUCCAACCUUUUCCCUGUGAAGUCCUUACCACACGUAAAAACACCCAGCCCAGCGCCUACCACGUCUGCGGAGCACCACCAUCACUCCCCGCGCAGCAUGUUCGCCCGGUACGUGCAUCACCGCCUCGCCAACAUAAUCGCCACGGAGCUCUGCCGCUGGCGCGAGACAUGCGGAGCAAGACUGCGCAGAAAGAAUCGCGGGAUGUUCGUAGAAUAUCACAUUUUCAACGUAUGGUAUUUCUCUAGAAUUUUUUCUUUAGAAAACAUGAUAUUUUCCCUUGCAUGAGACGAAAUUAUUUUGCAACUAAUUAUAGAGAUGUAAAAUUAUUUUCUAGAAGUUACCAACUGGACAGGUAAUAUCCUUACCCCACCAAAAACUGCCUACCUGGGUGGAGAAUCCACAAGCUAAAGCGCCAUUGCCCACUGUCAAAUGGAAAUCAAGAUAAAUAGAUAGAUUAAUAUUAAGAGAAACGCACUGUUUUAUACAGCUCGAUCUGUCUGUGUGUCUAUGUAUCUCUCUGCCUAUAAAUAACACAUCACCUAACUCAAGAUAUAUACUAGAAAGCAAAAACCAAAGAUAUCACUUCGAUCUAUAGCUAGGGUUUCCCUUCGAUCUAUCACCAUGAAACUUCUUCACCUGCUCGUCCUUGCCAUGGCCAUGGUCAAUGUUUGCGCCAUGGCUUCUCGCACAGCGCCGAGAGAGCAGCUGACAGUUCAUGGAGUGGUGAAGAGGGUGAUGACAGCGGAGGGGACGGCGAUCGACAACCAUCACGCGAUACCUAGGCCGGAGUACGACAGCUGGAGCAGCCCGGGGAACAUGCCCGGGAAUGGCCAUGACAUUGGGAGCGAACAAGCCAAGCCAUAAGAAGAUUGUAUGCCUUUGUACGUAGCAAUUAAGCUUGCAUGCAUGCAUGCAUGUAAGGGUACGUAUACGUGUACUCUGUAUGCUUGAGUACUAAUAGUCGUUGCAUGUCAUCUGCUCACUUGUGCUACUUAUGUAAGGGACAUGUUAAACAGGCGCAUCAUGUAAAUGCAUGUAGAUGUUCAUUUGAUAUAAGAAUAAAACGGUUAUAUAUCUCUGUAUGGAUUGGAUAUAUGCUUUUGUAAUGCCAAUGAGCUAUUAAAGUUGAUUAAA